GAAAGUAUAUUGCUGAUGAAAACAAUCAACAAGAAAAGCAAAUAAUAUAAUAAAUAAACUGCUGAUAAUCUUGAUUGUUGAGAGGAAUGAAUAGUUUGAUGAUUAACAGAAGAAUCUACUGCGUUGACAAAAUGAAAAACACGUCAUACUGUUUGGGAAGUAAAUGUGCAGUAUAAAUUAUUUGUUUACGAUAUUCGACAAUCAGGUAUCAGCGUGUUUAUACCUGACACAUUGCCUGAGGAUAAAAAAGGUCAAUAUUACUAAUGAUUUUUAAGAAUGAAAAAAAAAAGUCAAAAGAAGACAUGAAUGAAUUUACAAAAAGAAAAAUGUCUCAAGUGAGUGAGACGAAUUGAUGCGGUUCAACGAAUGAGUGGUUCAUUUUGCUGGCAAAAAUAGCAGGAGGUUUACCUCAAGUCAUUCAUUCUCUUGAAAAAUUUUGAAUACUCUUGACAACACAGGUGUGUCAUGGUG